CCUACGGGGGGCUGCAGUGGGGAAUAUUGGACAAUGGGCGAAAGCCUGAUCCAGCCAUGCCGCGUGUGUGAAGAAGGCCUUCGGGUUGUAAAGCACUUUCAGUGGGGAAGAAAGCCUUGGGGCUAAUACCCUCGAGGAAGAACAUCACCCACAGAAGAAGCACCGGCUAACUCCGUGCCAGCAGCCGCGGUAAUACGGAGGGUGCGAGCGUUAAUCGGAAUUACUGGGCGUAAAGCGCGCGUAGGCGGUCUGAUAAGCCGGUUGUGAAAGCCCCGGGCUCAACCUGGGAACGGCAUCCGGAACUGUCAGGCUAGAGUGCAGGAGAGGAAGGUAGAAUUCCCGGUGUAGCGGUGAAAUGCGUAGAGAUCGGGAGGAAUACCAGUGGCGAAGGCGGCCUUCUGGACUGACACUGACGCUGAGGUGCGAAAGCGUGGGUAGCAAACAGGAUUAGAUACCCGGGUAGUC
rnacentral:rRNA from 1 species